CUGCGAAGCAGAGAAUGGAGGCAGCCAUCACUACGAUCUUACCUGUGGGGCCAGCCAGGGAGGAGGGCACCAGCUCCCACCGGCAGCUUCUCCAUUUACUGUUUGGAGUUGGGAUGACUUCAGGUGGGACUGAGGUGCACGGACAGGUCUGGUGGCAUGCAUCCCUGUGGCCUGGAAAUGCUGAAUCCCUCCUGGCAAGGGUCACCUCCCAGUUUGAACCAAAUGGCUGGGUGUGCUGGAGUGUGGAGUGUGCUGGAGUGCAAGACGGGCUGUCAACUUCCAAGACCCUGCCAGCAGCAGCUUGGGAAAGGACCUGCAGAGCUCUUCACGUCUUUCAGUCCUGUCUGGAGAGCUGCAGAGGGAUGUGGACACAAAUGAGAUUCCUUAAAUGGCCUUUUCUGAGAUUCUGAUGAAGUGAGCUGCUAAUGUAAGUCACACUCACAGCUGCCAUGUCAGGAGACUUGUUCAGUGAUGCUGAGGGUCACAUUCCACUACCAUGGCUGCAGAAGCAAGGUAAACCCACCCGCAGAACCCUAGCAGAUUUGGUGUAAUUCUCCCAAGCCCACCCUGGCCCCAAACAGCUCCAUCACAUGCUUUGCCUUCUAUUUUGCCCCCAUUUCCCCCUACCAUGUGAACAACCUAGCCCAAUUCUUCCUCUCUCACGCUCAAUUUCUGCUGAUUUUGCACCCUUGUUCAGUGAUUGUAGCCAUGGUGAGUGAUCCCAGUCAGGCAGCACUGCUGAUACUCACCCCUUUGUCUGGCUAUUUCUUGCUUUUUGCUCAUCCUUUGGAAAGGGCUGGCAUCUCUCUGGCCUAGCAGUCACCUCUCCAUUUAACCUCAGCCCAGAGCCAGACACUUCCUUUAAAUUUUGCACUACUGUCAUUAAUACUGGUAUUUUCCUACAUUUCAGCCAGUGCCACCUGAUGCAACACCAAAACUGACUUUCAACACAGGCUGGAGUCUCUUCAUUGGCUUUCACAUACCCAUUAUCCCACAUGCCAGUAGGAGACAAGCCACCAGGACACUCCUGUGAGCCUAUGGAUACUCUGCUCUUCCUUACAUUAGGUGGGGCAGGGUUAGGGAAGGAGUUUGGGAGAGGCACACAGGCAAAACCACUUUCACAAAACAAAAUCCAUUGUCUUUUCAAAAUAUUAUGCAGAUGAUGUAUUAUGCAGAUCACCAAUGCAGGACAAAGAAGUGAGGCUUAGGAUGUAUUGAACAAGCAAGAUGAUAUCACACAUCCUCCAAAGGAAUGGCAUUACAGGAUUGAUGAGGACUGGUGAAACCAUCAUGAGAUGAUCCAACUGUGCUGAUAAAACAUUUCCUGACUUUGUUUCUCUUAAAGAAAAUAACUAAGUUUGGAUGGAAGAUCUGAGUAACAAGAAAUAACUUCAGGGUGAAGUUGCUGAAAAAAUGACACUGCCUCACAGAUUCUUUUUUUCGCCUCCCAAGAACUUCCCACAGAUUCUUUUUUUUGCCUCCCAAGAACUUCCCAGCUUCCUGAUAGUCCUAGCUCAGGCUAGGGACAGUCUCCAGAGCUGCGUACUGACAUCUUUUUCCUACAGUACUUCUGCUCCUCAUACCAUCUCUUGACUGCCAGACUGACCAGCUUCCCCCAAACCCUGACAUUCCAGGGAAUAUAUUACACAUCUGUGAAGUUCCCCUCAUUGUCUCCCACCAAGGCAGUCAGCUCUUCAUGUUGAUGUCAGAUUCCUAUAAGGCAGAAGGGCAGCCCAGGGCUCUCAUGCACCUAGCACUUGUCUAGAGCUAAAGCUAGUAGAGAUGAAUGCCUUCAGAGAUGACAAAAGACAUUUGAUCCAUGAUGGCAUUCCCAGCAAAUGCUAGAGGAGCAGUUAUCUAGCCAUCACUGAGAGAUGCUUUGAUGGAAAUUACUGGCUAAGCCCUGCUCUCUCUGUAGCACUCUCCAUGUAUGUUCUGAUGUGGUGAUUCAUCUGUUCAUCUCUUCACUGGUACCACAGCUCAAUCUACUUGGAUGCUACUUCCAUGAGACACCCAAGAUUUUCCCAUAAGCUUUUCAUUAUAAGAGUAUGUUUUUGGUUGCUUUCAAGUUGCCAGACUGAAAUUACCUGAACUACCCAUGUCAGGCACACAUCCAUCAGCCUGAGUUAAACGUACACUGAGUUGGACCAAACCCACAAGAAACACAGUCCACGUAUUUCAAAUAAUGACACAGGAAAAACUAUUUAUUCAUAAAAGGAAUUGUACUAGUUAGCUGCCUUGUUAAGAAGUCUGCACACCUUCUUAUGUUGGUUGAAGCCACUAAAAACAUCAUUGUUCCAGCUCAGAGCAGAAAGCCUCUGGGCUUGGGUCCUUUGCGGCAUACCUGUGGACCCUUUUGGACCUUGACCAAAGUAUUAAUUUCUGACAGUGAGUUCAUGCCAUACAUAACUCUUUUGACUUUGUGGGGCAAAGUCUUGUAAGACACCACGAUCGCUCCUUUUCUGCCAUCUUCUUGUAGGCUCUUCUGCCUGUCUUUCCUGCCAAGGCACAGGGUGUUUUCUGCAGUAGGACUGAGGCGGUGACAUGAUGCUUGUAAUAGCUGGGAUAUUUUUUUCAUGUUAUCACUUCAUUAAUCAAACUUGGGCUCAGGACACUGGGAGCCUGACUGGCAGCAGAGAAUCCUCCCUGUUCACCAUUCUGCUGACAAUUCACUCAAAGAUGUCUCCCUGUUCUCAAUCACCCUUUCUACUCUUCUGCAAACUCAUUUACAAAGUAAUUCCUGACAACCAGUGUCUCACCGAGAAUGGUACCUAGACUGAAAUAACAAAUUUAAAUCCAUGAAGUGACAUUCCCUGAAAACAAAGCAUUGAGAGAUUGACACCUGGCACUUCAGAAAAGGUCUCUGAACUGCUAUGCCAGUACCUUCCACAUAUAGGGGCUCAUCUUUGAACAUCUUGCUCUGCAUGUCUUGUAAGGACUGAUACACAGACUGUUCACAAAACUACUGCAGAAUUUAGGCUUCCCAACAUAGGAGAAAAAGACACUUCCAUGAAGAGAGGUCCAACUUCAUGAUACUUAUGUUUAGUCAGCAAAUUGCUCUGCUACUUGAUGCAAACGAUGGAGAAGCUGGGCAGAUGUGCCUAUGAACACAAGAAACAGGGCUGCCUCAGGUCAUACAGGGAAUAACUCCUUACUAGGAGAAGCCAGGAGGAAAACACUUCCUUCUAAAAGUUUGACUUCAGGGUUGUGUUCCUGGAUUGUAUUGAAUUGACAUGGAGAUACAACUCAUGCUCAAGAAAAGGAAUGCUUCUGAUGCUUUUUGACAUAGCUCUUCUCUGUGAGACUGGCAUGCUCUGUCUAAAGGAGAACACCUCACGUUGGAGGCAGCAGCAUUCUGUACUCACAGCAGAAGUUCCAUUCUGUACUGGGAGACAAUGAGAACUCAUCACACGGCAGAGGCAGCAUACGGCAUGACAUGAAAGAAUGAACCAAAAACCUGUGAGGCAACAUGACUUCAAGCCCACUAAAUGAAGCUGCUUUGAAAUUCUUUUUACAAACUCAGGGCAAUGGAAAAGAGGUCCGUGCCAAUCUGGUUACUGGGGCUUGCAACUGCACCCAAUCUUCUUAGAAGAACCAAGGUGAAUGCUUGGUAGAACAGCACUGACCUAGAACUUCAGCAGCUUCCGUCAUGAGGUAGACAGAGGACCUUGCAUCCAAAGGCAAUGCCGUUUUUUCCUUCCAGAAAACAACGGAUAAAGGCAGGAUCAGUAAACACCUGAGGAUUACUGGUGAUGUGUCAGAUUUAUGUUUCACUGCCUGUUUAUUUCAUUCUGACAACUGAAAACCUAAUUUCUACAAUGCAGAGUUUUAAAUUUCUUCAUGUACAUAAAGACCGAAUAAAGCUACAAACAGUUAACUUGGGAGACCUCACAGGUGUGUGAAAAAGACACUUUACUGCACUCAUAGCACUUGUCUGGUGCAGAAUCUAGUACUUACCACUAUGAUGACUCCUGCAUUAAGUAUUGGCUUAGCAGGCUAGCAUCUUGACAAAUAAGGAGAAUAAGAACAAUUGUUGACUCAAGGCCCACACAGAUGUAGAAGCAGUUACCUUCAACUUGCAGAACAAUGGCCACAUAAAUAAACUCUUCAAUGACCUCAGGUUAUGGCCUGGACUCCAGUGGAAAGAGGCUUAACAAAAUGCUGUGCCAGAGUAAGGACCCAGCAAACACUACAUGGGACUGCAUGGGAACUUACAGCACAGCCUAGAAACACAGAUUUUGAACAGUGUGGAAUCAAAAGUCUAGUUUUACAAGGAGACUUGGGGAUUAUCUCAGAGUAAGAAACUUAGCCUUAGGGUUAAAGAAGAGCAGUACAGCUUGCCCCAAGCUCCACUUGUACAGGCUGCACAAACCACCAACCCACAGGUCAUUUAUGAGGAAAGUUAUGUGCACCAGAGCAAACUGCUGCCUUCUACUACACUGGAGACUUCAAAAAUGAGGGGGUACUGCCUGUGACACCUGAGCAGCCAGAUUUAUUUUGCUCAUUACUGUAAGAUGCGGAGAUCUUGGGAAUGAAAGCAGAGAUUCCACAGAUCAUAGAAGAGAAAUUCAGGGAAAUGGUGCUGGUAGCAGAAGAAAAAAAAAAAAA